GAGGUUGACUUAACCCGAGGUGUAUAGAAGUAUGAAAUUCAUCUGUCAUGUUCAGGCCUUGAGAAACAACUGGACUUUGGUUGACUCCAUUUGGGUCCCUUGUGCCAUAAACCUAAGGUCCACAUUCCACAAUUUGAUCCUUGUCAGAAUAUGCAGGUCUCAUGUGAAUAUGGAGCAUUUUGUUCUGGUCCACAUCUUUUAUAAUUUGUUUUUAAAUCAAAAUACCUUCUUGUACAAUUCCAUGUUUUCUUGAUGGAUUAGGUUUACCUUCUUAUAAAGCUCUUGGUUUUCUUGGUGAACAAGGCUUCCCUACAAUGGAUAUUUAGUGAAAUUAAGAUUAUGUAUUAGUCUUCAGAUCACUAAGAAGUGUUACAGAGAGGCAUUUAUGAGAAACCUUCCGAUUAAGUUCUUGGAUUUCAUCAGACAGGAGUUUGUCCUGCAAACAUGAGGGAUGUAAGACAGCACUUUCUCAAGUGUUUGAUAGAUAACUGGAGCUUUGCAAUCAUCUUUUAUACGACCAAACGAUAUUAGUAUUACCUUCUUCAUUCGAACAACACGUAAGCUCAUGUCCAGUUUGUUCUCUAAAUUCUGUAGGUCUUCAACAUUCAUGCCAGAGAGCUCUUCCCCCAUCAGCUUCCUGGUUGCAGGUAGAGAUCCUUUUAUGUGCUGUCCCCUCUUAAUAAUUUGAAAUUCAUGAUAUUGGUAUAAAUAAAAAAAUCCGUUCUGCUUCAUGAUGGUUGUGAAAUCCUAUAGUAGACUGCCUACAUUUUCAGAAUGUAUGACUUGAUCAUUAGAUGCAAGUGUGACCAUAGCAUACUCAUAUCUAUUUCCCUAUGCCAAGUUUGUUUCAGAAGUAAAAUUUCU
rnacentral:antisense_RNA from 1 species